GAGAAACGAAACUUCAAUGGCCGUAAAUUCUCCAGCCGAGCUUAAGGGCACGUAGCAAAGAUACACACCAUGCACACAUGUAAGUAAUAGGUUGCGAUGAUAAUCAACUAUUUCCCAACCAAAUCUGCAGGCUGCAGGCCUCAUAACCAUGUACAUCCAUAAUGGGGCAAAUCUCCUUAAACUGAUAUUUGUAUAGUUUUAGUCAUUAUUACAGAAGUCUGACAGCAUGACAAAGAUGUUAUUCCAACAGCACCUACAGUUGUGUUGCAAGGUAACCCAGACGAUGUGAAAUGGGGUACAUCCAUAAUGCGGCAAAUCUCCUUAAACUGAUAUCUGUAUAGUUUUAGUCAUUAUUACAGAAGUCUGCCAGCAUGACAAAGAUGUUAUUCCAACAGCACCUACAGUUGUGUUGCAAGGUAACCCAGACGAUGUGAAAUGGGGUACAUCCAUAAUGCGGCAAAUCUCCUUAAACUGAUAUCUGUAUAGUUUGUCAUUAUUACAGAAGUCUGCCAGCAUGACAAAGAUGUUAUUCCAACAGCACCUACAGUUGGGUUGCAAGGUAACCCAGACGAUGUGAAAUGGGGUACAUCCAUAAUGCGGCAAAUCUCCUUAAACUGAUAUCUGUAUAGUUUUAGUCAUUAUUACAGAAGUCUGCCAGCAUGACAAAGAUGUUAUUCCAACAGCACCUACAGUUGGGUUGCAAGGUAACCCAGACGAUGUGAAAUGGGAAAUGUACAUCCAUAAUGGGGCAAAUCUCCUUAAACUGAUAUUUGUAUAGUUUUAGUCAUUAUUACAGAAGUCUGCCAGCAUGACAAAGAUGUUAUUCCAACAGCACCUACAGUUGUGUUGCAAGGUAACCCAGACGAUGUGAAAUGGGAAAUGCUGUUUCUCAUAAGAUGCAGCAAAAUCACUCUCAAACACCAAACAUCAGGCUGAACUUGGUGGCGAGGGGGACGGAUAUGAUGGCAACUCCCAACGCGACUCCGAAGAUACGGUGCGAGAU
rnacentral:lncRNA from 1 species